AGAGUUUGAUCCUGGCUCAGAACGAACGUUGGCGGCGUGGAUUAGGCAUGCAAGUCGGAUGAAUCCUCUUGAUGUAGCAAUACAUCGAGGGGGGAAAUGGCGAAAGGGGCAGUAAUGCAUGGGUAACGUACCCCGGGGUCGUGGAUAGCCUUCCUAACGGAUGGGUAAUACACGGCGAUUCAGCGAGCCGGCAUCGGUUUGCUGGGAAAGAUUCCGCCUCGGGAGCGGCUCAUGUCAUAUUAGCUAGUUGGUGAGGUAACGGCUCACCAAGGCGAAGAUGCGUAGCGGGUGUGAGAGCACGACCCGCGCCACUGGCACUGAGACACUGGCCAGACACCUACGGGUGGCUGCAGUCGAGGAUCUUCGGCAAUGGGCGCAAGCCUGACCGAGCGACGCCGCGUGAAGGAUGAAGGCCUUCGGGUUGUAAACUUCUGUCGAGGGGGAUCAAGGGCAACUUGAGU
rnacentral:rRNA from 1 species